AUUGAACGCUGGCGGCAUGCCUUACACAUGCAAGUCGAACGGCAGCACGGGUGCUUGCACCUGGUGGCGAGUGGCGAACGGGUGUGUAAUACAUCGGAACGUACCUUAUCGUGGGGGAUAACGCAGCGAAAGCUGUGCUAAUACCGCAUACGCCCUGAGGGGGAAAGCGGGGGAUCGCAAGACCUCGCGCGAUUAGAGCGGCCGAUGCCUGAUUAGCUAGUUGGUGGGGUAAAAGCCCACCAAGGCGACGAUCAGUAGCUGGUCUGAGAGGACGAUCAGCCACACUGGGACUGAGACACGGCCCAGACUCCUACGGGAGGCAGCAGUGGGGAAUUUUGGACAAUGGGGGCAACCCUGAUCCAGCAAUGCCGCGUGAGUGAAGAAGGCCUUCGGGUCGUAAAGCUCUUUUGUCAGGGAAGAAACACCGGCUCUAACACAGUCCGGGAAUGACGGUACCUGAAGAAUAAGCACCGGUUAACUACGUGCCAGCAGCCGCCGUAA
rnacentral:rRNA from 1 species